rnacentral:rRNA from 1 species
UAAUACGUAUGGGGCAAGCGUUGCUCGGAUUUACUGGGCAUAAAGGGCGCGUAGGUGGUAUCGAAAGUUGAAUGUGAAAUCCCACGGCUUAACUGUGGACACGCAUUCAAAACUUCGAUACUUGAGUUCAGGUGAGGAAAAUGGAAUUCCAGGUGUAGGGGUGAAAUCUGUAGAUAUCUGGAAGAACACCAGUGGCGAAGGCGAUUUUCUAACCUGAUACUGACACUGAGGCGCGAAAGCGUGGGGAGCGAACAGGAUUAGAUACCCUGGUAGUCCACGCCGUAAACUAUGGACACUUGGUGUUGGAAGAGUUAAAUCUUCUAGUGCCGGAGCUAACGUGUUAAGUGUCCCGCCUGGGAAGUACGGUCGCAAGACUG